AGCACAAUGGCACAGCGGUCAGUACUCCUGCCUCGCAAUAAGGAGGUUCCGGGUUCGAGCCCUGGCUGUCCAG